rnacentral:rRNA from 1 species
UAUCAGAAGUGCGAAUGCUGACAUAAGUAACGAUAAAGCGGGUGAAAAGCCCGCUCGCCGGAAGACCAAGGGUUCCUGUCCAACGUUAAUCGGGGCAGGGUGAGUCGACCCCUAAGGCGAGGCCGAAAGGCGUAGUCGAUGGGAAACGGGUUAAUAUUCCCGUACUUGGUGUUACUGCGAAGGGGGGACGGAGAAGGCUAUGUUGGCCGGGCGACGGUUGUCCCGGUUUAAGCGUGUAGGUGUGUGUUCCAGGUAAAUCCGGUUCACUUUAACACUGAGGCGUGAUGACGAGGCACCACGGUGCUGAAGCAACAAAUGCCCUGCUUCCAGGAAAAGCCUCUAAGCAUCAGGUAACAUCAAAUCGUACCCCAAACCGACACAGGUGGUCAGGUAGAGAAUACCAAGGCGCUUGAGAGAACUCGGGUGAAGGAACUAGGCAAAAUGGUGCCGUAACUUCGGGAGAAGGCACGCUGACACGUAGGUGAAGUGAUUUACUCAUGGAGCUGAAGUCAGUCGAAGAUACCAGCUGGCUGCAACUGUUUAUUAAAAACACAGCACUGUGCAAACACGAAAGUGGACGUAUACGGUGUGACGCCUGCCCGGUGCCGGAAGGUUAAUUGAUGGGGUCAGCGCAAGCGAAGCUCCUGAUCGAAGCCCCGGUAAACGGCGGCCGUAACUAUAACGGUCCUAAGGUAGCGAAAUUCCUUGUCGGGUAAGUUCCGACCUGCACGAAUGGCGUAAUGAUGGCCAGGCUGUCUCCACCCGAGACUCAGUGAAAUUGAACUCGCUGUGAAGAUGCAGUGUACCCGCGGCAAGACGGAAAGACCCCGUGAACCUUUACUAUAGCUUGACACUGAACAUUGAGCCUUGAUGUGUAGGAUAGGUGGGAGGCUUUGAAGCGUGGACGCCAGUCUGCGUGGAGCCGACCUUGAAAUACCACCCUUUAAUGUUUGAUGUUCUAACGUGGACCCGUAAUCCGGGUUGCGGACAGUGUCUGGUGGGUAGUUUGACUGGGGCGGUCUCCUCCUAAAGAGUAACGGAGGAGCACGAAGGUUGGCUAAUCCUGGUCGGACAUCAGGAGGUUAGUGCAAUGGCAUAAGCCAGCUUGACUGCGAGCGUGACGGCGCGAGCAGGUGCGAAAGCAGGUCAUAGUGAUCCGGUGGUUCUGAAUGGAAGGGCCAUCGCUCAACGGAUAAAAGGUACUCCGGGGAUAACAGGCUGAUACCGCCCAAGAGUUCAUAUCGACGGCGGUGUUUGGCACCUCGAUGUCGGCUCAUCACAUCCUGGGGCUGAAGUAGGUCCCAAGGGUAUGGCUGUUCGCCAUUUAAAGUGGUACGCGAGCUGGGUUUAGAACGUCGUGAGACAGUUCGGUCCCUAUCUGCCGUGGGCGCUGGAAGACUGAGGGGGGCUGCUCCUAGUACGAGAGGACCGGAGUGGACGCAUCACUGGUGUUCGGGUUGUCAUGCCAAUGGCACUGCCCGGUAGCUAAAUGCGGAAAAGAUAAGUGCUGAAAGCAUCUAAGCACGAAACUUGCCCCGAGAUGAGUCUUCCCUGAGACCUUGAGUCUCCUGAAGGAACGUUAAAGACGAUGACGUUGAUAGGCCGGGUGUGUAAGCGCAGCGAUGCGUUGAGCUAACCGGUACUAAUGAACCGUGAGGCUUAACCU